rnacentral:lncRNA from 1 species
CGUUAGAGCAUUGAGAGGACCUUUCCCUAGUACGAGAGGACCGGGAAGGACGCACCUCUUGUGUACCAAUUAUCGUGCCCACGAUAAACGCUGGGUAGCGAAGUGCGGAGCGAAUAACUGCUGAAAGCAUCUAAGUAGUAAGCCCACCCCAAGAUGAGUGAUCUCCUAUUCCAACUUCCCCAGAGCCUUCAGUAGCACAGUUGAGACAACGACGGGUUCUCUGCCCCUGCGGGAUGGAGCGAUAGAAGUUUUGAGAAUUCAAGAGAAGGUCACCGUGAGACGAGCCGUUUAUCAUAAUGAUAGGUGUCAAGUGGAAGUGAAGUGAUGUAUGCAGCUGAGGCAUCCUAACAGACCAG